rnacentral:rRNA from 1 species
GAUGAACGCUGGCGGCGUGCCUAAUACAUCCAAGUCGAGCGAACAGACGAGGAGCUUGCUCCUCUGACGUUAGCGGCGGACGGGUGAGUAAUACGUGGAGAACCUACCUAUAAGACUUGGAGAACUUCGGGAAACCGGAGUUAAUACCAGGUAAUAUAUUGAACCGCAUGGUUCAAUAGUGAAAGACGGUUUUGCUGUCACUUAUAGAUGGAUCCGCGCCGCAUUAGCUAGUUGGUAAGGUAACGGCUUACCAAGGCAACGAUGCGUAGCCGACCUGAGAGGGUGAUCGGCCACACUGGAACUGAGACACGGCCCAGACUCCUACGGGAGGCAGCAGUAGGGAAUCUUACGCGAUGGGCGGAAGACUGCCGGAGCAGCGCCGCGUGAGUGAUGAAGGUCUUCGGAUCGUAAAACUCUGUUAUUAGGGAAGAACAAAUGUGUAAGUGACUAUGCACGUCUUGACGGUACCUAAACAGAAAGCCCCGGCUAACUACGUG